UUAAGUAUCUCUAGGGACCCGAGGUUGUGAACCACUGAUCUAGACUAACAGAAAGUAGAGGGAGAGGGUCCUUCUAGGGUGUUUGGUUGCGUGGGUUCCUGGCAUCUGGACAGUUGAGAACCAGAGGUUGGGAGCCACCACGAACCCUGGUGGGGAAAUGAAAGCUACAGACCACAAUGGCUCCUUGGAGGUGACCUUUUGAGGUCACAAUGAUGCCACCACCACCACCCUUACCUCCAGUUGGAGACAGCGGCAGAAGGAAAACCUGGAGCAGGAGGAGAAGAGCUUCUCCUAGCAAGAGGGGGAGAACCCCCUGGGAAUGGGGAAUUGGACUUCCGCCAGGAAGCUGGAGGAGGAGGUUGAGAAUGAAGAGCUUCAGCCAGAAGAACUGGUCGCAGGAAGCCAGGGUGGCCACUGUAAAGGGCUGAAGAAGCUCUUUCAGAGAGGCGAAAGGACACCCAGGGAGAUACCGCUGGCCCCGAGUGAGAUGUUCUCUCAAGAUCUGCAGCCCAUGUCCAGGGAGAUUCUUUCUUCCUUGGGCCGGAGAGGUGCCAGGCUCCGUCGGGCUGCUCAGAGGUCCUGCCCUCCUCUUUUCUCCUUGACUCUGUGGGUGGCCGGCGACGGAGGCGAACGAGAAGAGAACUAUCGGUACCACCGCCUGAUGGGGAACCUGGUCUCCUCCAUGGUUCCAGAAAACGACCUCCCACCCCCUACGUGGUGAAGUUGAGAA
rnacentral:lncRNA from 1 species